GUCCCCAUCGUCUAGCGGUCAGGACACCGCCCUUUCACGGCGGUAACGGGGGUUCGAGUCCCCCUGGGGACGCCA
rnacentral:tRNA from 1 species